rnacentral:rRNA from 1 species
UGGGGAAUAUUGGACAAUGGGCGAAAGCCUGAUCCAGCCAUGCCGCGUGUGUGAAGAAGGUCUUCGGAUUGUAAAGCACUUUAAGUUGGGAGGAAGGGCAGUAAGCGAAUACCUUGCUGUUUUGACGUUACCGACAGAAUAAGCACCGGCUAACUCUGUGCCAGCAGCCGCGGUAAUACAGAGGGUGCAAGCGUUAAUCGGAAUUACUGGGCGUACAGCGCGCGUAGGUGGUUCGUUAAGUUGAAUGUGAAAGCCCCGGGCUCAACCUGGGAACUGGAUCAAAAACUGGCGAGCUAGAGUAGGGCAGAGGGUGGUGGAAUUUCCUGUGUAGCGGUGAAAUGCGUAGAUAUAGGAAGGAACACCAGUGGCGAAGGCGACCACCUGGGCUCAUACUGACACUGAGGUGCGAAAGCGUGGGGAGCAAACAGG